UACGGAGGUGGCAAGCGUUUGUUCGGAAUUACUGGGCGUAAAGCGUGCGCAGGCGGUUUUGUAAGCCAGAUGUGAAAAUCCCCGGGCUUAACCUGGGAAUGGCAUUUGGGACUGCAAGGCUCGAGUGCGGCAGAGGAGACUGGAAUUCCUGGUGUAGCAGUGAAAUGCGUAGAUAUCAGGAGGAACACCGAUGGCGAAGGCAGGUCUCUGGGCUGACACUGACGCUCAUGCACGAAAGCGUGGGGAGCAAA
rnacentral:rRNA from 1 species